rnacentral:rRNA from 1 species
UACGUAGGGGGCAAGCGUUGUCCGGAAUUAUUGGGCGUAAAGAGCGUGUAGGCGGCCAGUUAGGUCUGUUGUGAAAACUCGAGGCUCAACCUCGAGCUGUCGGUGGAAACCAACUGGCUAGAGUCCGGAAGAGGAGAGUGGAAUUCCUGGUGUAGCGGUGAAAUGCGCAGAUAUCAGGAGGAAUACCCGUGGCGAAAGCGGCUCUCUGGGACGGUACUGACGCUGAGACGCGAAAGCGUGGGGAGCAAACAGG